AUAAUUGGUGGGGAAAGAGAGAGAAGGAUGGAGGAUACAAAUCCUUCACUAUUAUCAAACUUUGAAUUUAUAUUAAUUUGAUGAAAUCCAGAUCUUCUGGUUAAGGGGAAACAGAAACUGCCCACCGCUACCGAAUGUUAGCUUGCUUGCUUUAAGAGUUGAUAGAG